rnacentral:rRNA from 1 species
GAUGAACGCUGGCGGCGUGCCUAAUACAUGCAAGUCGAGCGACAGACGAGGAGCUUGCUCCUCUGACGUUAGCGGCGGACGGGUGAGUAACACGUGGAUAACCUACCUAUAAGACUGGGAUAACUUCGGGAAACCGGAGCUAAUACCGGAUAAUAUAUUGAACCGCAUGGUUCAAUAGUGAAAGACGGUUUUGCUGUCACUUAUAGAUGGAUCCGCGCCGCAUUAGCUAGUUGGUAAGGUAACGGCUUACCAAGGCAACGAUGCGUAGCCGACCUGAGAGGGUGAUCGGCCACACUGGAACUGAGACACGGUCCAGACUCCUACGGGAGGCAGCAGUAGGGAAUCUUCCGCAAUGGGCGAAAGCCUGACGGAGCAACGCCGCGUGAGUGAUGAAGGUCUUCGGAUCGUAAAACUCUGUUAUUAGGGAAGAACAAAUGUGUAAGUAACUAUGCACGUCUUGACGGUACCUAAUCAGAAAGCCACGGCUAACUACGUG